rnacentral:rRNA from 1 species
AGCAGCCGCGGUAAUUCCAGCUCCAAUAGCGUAUAUUAAAGUUGUUGCAGUUAAAAAGCUCGUAGUUGAAUUUCGGGAUUGGCACAUCGGUCGUGCCUUAAGGGGUAUGAACUGGUGUAGUCAAUUUCUCACCUUCUGGAGAACCGCGAUGUCCUUAAUUGGGUGCCGCGAGGAACCAGGACCUUUACUUUGAAAAAAUUAGAGUGUUUAAAGCAGGCAUUUUUGCUUGAAUACAUUAGCAUGGAAUAAUAAAAUAGGACGGCAUGAUUCUAUUUUGUUGGUUUCUAGGAUCACCGUAAUGAUUAAUAGGGAUAGUUGGGGGCAUUAGUAUUCAAUUGUCAGAGGUGAAAUUCUUGGAUUUAUUGAAGACUAACUACUGCGAAAGCAUUUGCCAAGGAUGUUUUCAUUAAUCAAGAACGAAAGUUAGGGAUCGAAGACGAUCAGAUACCGUCGUAGUCUUAACCAUAAACCUAUAGCCGACUAGGGAUCGGAUGAUGUUAAUUUUUAUGACUCAUUCGGCGCCUUAAC